rnacentral:rRNA from 1 species
AGGACGAACGCUGGCGGCGUGCUUAACACAUGCAAGUCGAGCGGUAAGGCCUUUCGGGGUACACGAGCGGCGAACGGGUGAGUAACACGUGGGUGAUCUGCCCUGCACUUCGGGAUAAGCCUGGGAAACUGGGCCUAAUACCGGAUAUGACCUCCUAUCGCAUGGUGGGUGGUGGAAAGAUUUAUCGGUGCAGGAUGGGCCCGCGGCCUAUCAGCUUGUUGGUGGGGUAAUGGCCUACCAAGGCGACGACGGGUAGCCGACCUGAGAGGGUGACCGGCCACACUGGGACUGAGACACGGCCCAGACUCCUACGGGAGGCAGCGGUGGGGAAUAUUGCACAAUGGGCGAAAGCCUGAUGCAGCGACGCCGCGUGAGGGAUGGACGGCCUUCGGGUUGUAAACCGUCUUUACAGCAGGGACGAAGCGCAAGUGACGGUACCUGCAGAAGAAGCAACCGGCUAACGUACGUGACCAGCGAGCCGAC